rnacentral:rRNA from 1 species
UAACACGUGGAUAACCUACCCUUGGGACCGGAAUAACCCCGGGAAACUGGGGAUAAUACCGGAUAGAUCAGGGAUGCUGGAAUGCACCUUGAUCCAAAGCUCCGGCGCCCAAGGAUGGGUCUGCGGCCUAUCAGGUAGUAGUGGGUGUAACGUACCUACUAGCCAACGACGGGUACGGGUUGUGAGAGCAAGAUCCCGGAGAUGGAUUCUGAGACACGAAUCCAGGCCCUACGGGGUGCAGCAGGCGCGAAACCUUUACAAUGUGCGAAAGCAUGAUAAGGGAACUCCGAGUGCCAGUAUCUAAUACUGGCUGUCCUUGUGCCUAAAACGCACAAGAUAGCAAGGGCCGGGUAAGACCGGUGCCAGCCGCCGCGGUAACACCGGCGGCCCGAGUGGUAGCCGCUAUUAUUGGGUCUAAAGGGUCCGUANCCGGUUCNAUAAGUCCUCUGGGAAAUCUGGUUGCUUAACAAUCAGACUGCCAAGGGAUACUGUCGAACUUCAGACCGGGAGAGGUAAGAGGUACUUCAGGGGUAGGAGUGAAAUCUUGUAAUCCCUGGGGGACCAUCUGUGGCGAAGGCGUCUUACCAAAACGGGUCUGACGGUGAGGGACGAAAGCUGGGGGCGCAAACCGGAUUAGAUACCCGGGUAGUCCCAGCCGUAAACGAUGCUCGCUAUGUGUCAGGUACGGUGUGACCGUAUCUGGUGCCGUAGGGAAGCCGUGAAGCGAGCCACCUGGGAAGUACGGCCGCAAGGCUGAAACUUAAAGGAAUUGGCGGGGGAGCACUACAACGGGUGGAGCCUGCGGUUUAAUUGGAUUCAACGCCGGAAAUCUUACCGGGGGAGACAGCAGCAUGAAGGUCAGGCUGAAGACCUUACCAGAUCCGCUGAGAGGAAGUGCAUGGCCGUCGUCAGUUCGUACUGUGAAGCAUCCUGUUAAGUCAGGCAACGAGCGAGACCCGUGCCCACAGUUGCCAGCAUACCCUUCGGGGUGAUGGGUACUUUGUGGGGACCGCCGCUGCUAAAGCGGAGGAAGGAGCGGGUUACGGUAGGUCAGUAUGCUCCGAAACUCCCGGGCUACACGCGGGCUACAAUGG